rnacentral:misc_RNA from 1 species
UCCUCUUUACAGAGGCAGUUCGUCUCGAGUCCCCGGCAUUAUCCGCUGGUAACAAAACGUGAGGGUUGCGCUCGUUGCGGGACUUAACCCAACAUCUCACGACACGAGCUGACGACAACCAUGCACCACCUGUAUACGGCCCCGAAGGACACCAUAUCUCUAUGGCUUUUCCUUAUAUUUCAAGCCCUGGUAAGGUUCUUCGCGUUGCGUCGAAUUAAGCCACAUGCUCCACCGCUUGUGCGGGCCCCCGUCAAUUCCUUUGAGUUUCAGUCUUGCGACCGUACUCCCCAGGCGGAGUGCUUAAUGUGUUGACUUCGGCACAGCAGGGGUCGAUACCCGCUACACCAAGCACUCAUCGUUUACGGCGUGGACUAC